rnacentral:rRNA from 1 species
AGAGUUUGAUCAUGGCUCAGAUUGAACGCUGGCGGCAGGCCUAACACAUGCAAGUCGAGCGGUAGCACAGAGAGCUUGCUCUCAGGUGACGAGCGGCGGACGGGUGAGUAAUGUCUGGGAAACUGCCUGAUGGAGGGGGAUAACUACUGGAAACGGUAGCUAAUACCGCAUAACGUCGCAAGACCAAAGUGGGGGACCUUCGGGCCUCAUGCCAUCAGAUGUGCCCAGAUGGGAUUAGCUAGUAGGUGGGGUAAUGGCUCACCUAGGCGACGAUCCCUAGCUGGUCUGAGAGGAUGACCAGCCACACUGGAACUGAGACACGGUCCAGACUCCUACGGGAGGCAGCAGUGGGGAAUAUUGCACAAUGGGCGCAAGCCUGAUGCAGCCAUGCCGCGUGUGUGAAGAAGGCCUUCGGGUUGUAAAGCACUUUCAGCGGGGAGGAAGGCGUUAAGGUUAAUAACCUUGGCGAUUGACGUUACCCGCAGAAGAAGCACCGGCUAACUCCGUGCCAGCAGCCGCGGUAAUACGGAGGGUGCAAGCGUUAAUCGGAAUUACUGGGCGUAAAGCGCACGCAGGCGGUCUGUCAAGUCGGAUGUGAAAUCCCCGGGCUCAACCUGGGAACUGCAUUCGAAACUGGCAGGCUAGAGUCUUGUAGAGGGGGGUAGAAUUCCAGGUGUAGCGGUGAAAUGCGUAGAGAUCUGGAGGAAUACCGGUGGCGAAGGCGGCCCCCUGGACAAAGACUGACGCUCAGGUGCGAAAGCGUGGGGAGCAAACAGGAUUAGAUACCCUGGUAGUCCACGCCGUAAACGAUGUCGAUUUGGAGGUUGUGCCCUUGAGGCGUGGCUUCCGGAGCUAACGCGUUAAAUCGACCGCCUGGGGAGUACGGCCGCAAGGUUAAAACUCAAAUGAAUUGACGGGGGCCCGCACAAGCGGUGGAGCAUGUGGUUUAAUUCGAUGCAACGCGAAGAACCUUACCUGGUCUUGACAUCCACAGAACUUUCCAGAGAUGGAUUGGUGCCUUCGGGAACUGUGAGACAGGUGCUGCAUGGCUGUCGUCAGCUCGUGUUGUGAAAUGUUGGGUUAAGUCCCGCAACGAGCGCAACCCUUAUCCUUUGUUGCCAGCGGUUAGGCCGGGAACUCAAAGGAGACUGCCAGUGAUAAACUGGAGGAAGGUGGGGAUGACGUCAAGUCAUCAUGGCCCUUACGACCAGGGCUACACACGUGCUACAAUGGCAUAUACAAAGAGAAGCGACCUCGCGAGAGCAAGCGGACCUCAUAAAGUAUGUCGUAGUCCGGAUUGGAGUCUGCAACUCGACUCCAUGAAGUCGGAAUCGCUAGUAAUCGUAGAUCAGAAUGCUACGGUGAAUACGUUCCCGGGCCUUGUACACACCGCCCGUCACACCAUGGGAGUGGGUUGCAAAAGAAGUAGGUAGCUUAACCUUCGGGAGGGCGCUUACCACUUUGUGAUUCAUGACUGGGGUGAAGUCGUAACAAGGUAACCGUAGGGGAACCUGCGGUUGGAUCACCU